rnacentral:lncRNA from 1 species
UUAGCUUCUUGCUGCGUCAUGGAGAAGAUCCGAGCUGGAACUGAUGGACCUUCACCUAGGGAACCUGCUGAAGAAGGGGCCAUCCCCCUUCCUCUGCCUCGACCACUACCCUGAAACAUGGCUGGAGCUGAUGGUUGUGCCAUACUGCCUGGAGUUGUCUGAUGGGACGGUGCCAUAAAAGCUGCCUUAGGACACUCCCGAGCUAUGUGUCCCUCCUGGCCGCAUCUGUAACAUGCUGUAGUCCCAAACCGACAGACUCCCUUGUGCGGCCUACCGCACCUUGCACACUCCGCGACCUCUGUGCCUGAGCUCGAGCCUCCUCCUAAUCUCAGACCAGACUUUAUCUGAUUCCAGAACUUAUUCUUCUUUGACCUUCUGAGACCUCUGUCUCCCUUCUUACUUUUCGUGACAUCCUCACCUAGAGAGGAGAGAUUUGCAUCACUUGUCCCCAGGAUUUUGAGACCCGAAGACUAUGCCACUGACUGCUUAACUGUCCCUUGGAUAAUGGCACUAGCCUCCAUUCUCCAUGCCAUAUCUACUAUAGCAUGGAAGCUCUCCCUUUCUGCUGAUUGAAUCAACGAGGAAUACCUGGAGUGAAGCUUCAUAACAUAUCUUCUAGACUUCUUCAGGUCUGUGUCAAGACCUUGUCCUGCAAACGGCAACAGCUCCAGGAACCUGUCUGUAAACUCAUCUACACUCAUCUCUUCCGUCUGUCUUAG